rnacentral:rRNA from 1 species
UAGUCAUAUGCUUGUCUCAAAGAUUAAGCCAUGCAUGUCUAAGUACAUCGAACAAAAAGUGAAACCGCGAAUGGCUCAUUAAAUCAGUUAUAACUGAGCUGACUUAGACUCGUGGGGGCAACCCUUACGUACUAUAUGGAUAACUGUGGCAAUUCUAGAGCUAAUACAUGCAACAUGCCUAGCGAGGGAGGCAACUCCCUCCAGGUGCUCUUAUUAGACUGACUGGCCGUCGCGCGCGCACUUGUGUGUGUGUGGCGGACAGGAGGUGACUCUGAAUAAGCCGGCAGAUCCUCGGCCUCGCGCCGGGGACAGUCAGGAAGUUACCUGCCUUAUCAAUUGUCGACGGUAGGGUAGUGGCCUACCGUGGUGAUAACGGGUAACGGGGAAUCAGGGUUCGAUUCCGGAGAGGGAGCCUGAGAAACGGCUACCACAUCCAAGGAAGGCAGCAGGCGCGCAAAUUACCCAAUUUUAGACUUUGUACCAGUCUCUAAAGAGGUAGUGACGAAAAAUAACAGUGCGGGCCUCUUGUUGAGGCCCCGUAACUGGAAUGAGCACAGUUACAAAUUCUUUAACGAGUAUCAAUUGGAGGGCAAGUCUGGUGCCAGCAGCCGCGGUAAUUCCAGCUCCAAUAGCGUAUGCUAAACUUGUUGCGGUUAAAAAGCUCGUAGUUGGUGUUGACUUGGGUCUCGCUAGGCCGGACCGAUUGAUUUCGGGCCGCCUGACUUGAUCUGAGUUGAUGCCUGAGACAAAUUACAGACCCCGUACGCUUCACUGCGUUGCGGGUGUUUGACUGACGAUGGCCGAUUACUUUGAAUAAAGCUAAGUGCUUAAAGCAGGCGAGACGCCGCCUGAAAGAAAACGCAUGGAAUAAUGAAAUAUGGUACCCGUUAGACACUAGCUUCGGCUAGGGUCUGAUAUAGUACAAUGAUUAAAAGGAACAAACGGGGGCAUUCGUAUUGCGCGGCUAGAGGUGAAAUUCUUGGACCCCCGCAAGACGGACUACAGCGAAAGCAUCUGCCAAGGAUGUUUUCAUUAAUCAAGAACAAAAGUUAGAGGUUCGAAGGCGAUUAGAUACCGCCCUAGUUCUAACCAUAAACGAUGCCGACCAGCAAUCUGGUGUGCGGCUGGUAAUGUGGUUGCCCUCUACCUGCUUACUCUUUCUCCUCUCACGGGGAGUUGGGUUUGUGGGGACGAGGGAAGCCCGCCGACGCCGCCAGGAAGCUUUUACCUGGGGAAACCAGAGAUGGGUUCCGGGGGAAGUAUGGUUGCAAAGCUGAAACUUAAAGGAAUUGACGGAAGGGCACCACCAGGAGUGGAGCCUGCGGCUUAAUUUGACUCAACACGGGGAAACUCACCCGGCCCGGACACUAGAAUGAUUGACAGACUGACAGCCCUUUCUUGAUAUAGUGGGUGGUGGUGCAUGGCCGUUCUUAGUUCGUGGAGCGAUUUGUCUGGUUGAUUCCGAUAACGAACGAGACUUUCUUACUGUAGGAGGGCACCCGUAUUACGCGCGGGCUGCUAUCUCCGUCGGCUGCCGUCAAAAAGCAGUCGACUCGAGACAAAAUACUUACUACAACCAAAUAAUAAGGAGACAACCGGGGAAAGAUUAAAUCUGAAACCGUAGUAAGCUGAAAGCAAUAACAGGUCUGUGAUGCCCUUAGAUGUCCGGGGCCGCACGCGUGCUACACUGAAGCGGACAGUGUGAGCCAUGCUUGACUCUCGUAGCCAAACAGCCCCACCUGAAAAGGUUCUUAACUGGGGAACCCACCCAACCCGCCUCGUGCUAGGGACUGCGCAAUGUAACUAUGCCCACGAACGAGGAAUUCCCAGUAGGCGUGGGUCAUCAGCCCGCGUCGACUACGUCCCUGCCCUUUGUACACACCGCCCGUCGCUACUACCGAUUGAAUGAGUUAGUGAGGUCUUUGGACCGGGUGGUGCUCGCAAGAGCUCCGCCUGGAAAGAUGCCCGAACUUGCUCAUUUAGAGGAAGUAAAAGUCGUAACAAGGUUUCC